UACUAGUUGUCGGGUCUUAAUUGACUUGGUAACGCAGCUAACGCGUGAAGUAGACCGCCUGGGGAGUACGGUCGCAAGAUUAAAACUCAAAGGAAUUGACGGGGACCCGCACAAGCGGUGGAUGAUGUGGAUUAAUUCGAUGCAACGCGAAAAACCUUACCUACCCUUGACAUGGAAGGAAUCCCUGAGAGAUUGGGGAGUGCUCGAAAGAGAACCUUUACACAGGUGCUGCAUGGCUGUCGUCAGCUCGUGUCGUGAGAUGUUGGGUUAAGUCCCGCAACGAGCGCAACCCUUGUCAUUAGUUGCUACGCAAGAGCACUCUAAUGAGACUGCCGGUGACAAACCGGAGGAAGGUGGGGAUGACGUCAAGUCCUCAUGGCCCUUAUGGGUAGGGCUUCACACGUCAUACAAUGGUACAUACAGAGGGCCGCCAACCCGCGAGGGGGAGCUAAUCCCAGAAAGUGUAUCGUAGUCCGGAUUGUAGUCUGCAACUCGACUGCAUGAAGUUGGAAUCGCUAGUAAUCGCGGAUCAGCAUGUCGCGGUGAAUACGUUCCCGGGUCUUGUACACACCGCCCGUCACACCAUGGGAGCGGGUUUUGCCAGAAGUAGGUAGCUUAACCGUAAGGAGGGCGCUUACCACGGCAGGAUUCGUGACUGGGGUGAAGUCGUAACAAGGUAGCCGUA
rnacentral:rRNA from 1 species